GAUGAACGCUGGCGGCGUGCUUAACACAUGCAAGUCGAACGGAAAGGCCCAAGCUUGCUUGGGUACUCGAGUGGCGAACGGGUGAGUAACACGUGGGUGAUCUGCCCUGCACUUCGGGAUAAGCCUGGGAAACUGGGUCUAAUACCGGAUAGGACGAUGGUUUGGAUGCCAUUGUGGAAAGUUUUUUCGGUGUGGGAUGAGCUCGCGGCCUAUCAGCUUGUUGGUGGGGUAAUGGCCUACCAAGGCGUCGACGGGUAGCCGGCCUGAGAGGGUGUACGGCCACAUUGGGACUGAGAUACGGCCCAGACUCCUACGGGAGGCAGCAGUGGGGAAUAUUGCACAAUGGGCGCAAGCCUGAUGCAGCGACGCCGCGUGGGGGAUGACGGCCUUCGGGUUGUAAACUCCUUUCGCUAGGGACGAAGCGUUUUGUGACGGAACCUGGAGAAGAAGCACCGGCUAACUACGUG
rnacentral:rRNA from 1 species